rnacentral:rRNA from 1 species
GCGUAAAGCGAGCGCAGGCGGUUUCUUAAGUCUGAUGUGAAAGCCCCCGGCUCAACCGGGGAGGGUCAUUGGAAACUGGGAGACUUGAGUGCAGAAGAGGAGAGUGGAAUUCCAUGUGUAGCGGUGAAAUGCGUAGAUAUAUGGAGGAACACCAGUGGCGAAGGCGGCUCUCUGGUCUGUAACUGACGCUGAGGCUCGAAAGCGUGGGGAGCGAACAGGAUUAGAUACCCUGGUAGUCCACGCCGUAAACGAUGAGUGCUAAGUGUUGGAGGGUUUCCGCCCUUCAGUGCUGCAGCAAACGCAUUAAGCACUCCGCCUGGGGAGUACGACCGCAAGGUUGAAACUCAAAGGAAUUGACGGGGGCCCGCACAAGCGGUGGAGCAUGUGGUUUAAUUCGAAGCAACGCGAAGAACCUUACCAGGUCUUGACAUCCUUUGACCACUCUAGAGAUAGAGCUUCCCCUUCGGGGGCAAAGUGACAGGUGGUGCAUGGUUGUCGUCAGCUCGUGUCGUGAGAUGUUGGGUUAAGUCCGACG